rnacentral:rRNA from 1 species
CAGUCGCCACGGGAAUACGAAGGGGGCUAGCGUUGCUCGGAAUUACUGGGCGUAAAGGGCGCGUAGGCGGACAGCUUAGUCAGAGGUGAAAGCCCAGGGCUCAACCUUGGAACUGCCUUUGAUACUGGCUGUCUUGAGUUCGGGAGAGGUGAGUGGAAUGCCGAGUGUAGAGGUGAAAUUCGUAGAUAUUCGGCGGAACACCAGUGGCGAAGGCGACUCACUGGCCCGAUACUGACGCUGAGGCGCGAAAGCGUGGGAAGCAAACAGGAUUAGAUACCCCUGUAGUCCCUGUCUCUUAUAC